rnacentral:rRNA from 1 species
CCCUUAGAUGUUCUGGGCCGCACGCGCGCUACACUGGCUGGCUCAACAAGCAUCUCACCUGCGCUGGCGUGCGGGUUGGUGUGUGUGGAGUUUACUCCCUGCUGCAUCAGCUCAGCGCUGCUUAGCUCUGCUAAGUCGAGAGGCGUGGGCAAUCUUGAAAGGCCAGCCGUGUCUGGGAUAGGCUCUUGCAAUUUUCAGCCUUGAACGAGGAAUUCCUAGUAAAUGUGGGUCAUCAACCCGCAUUGAUUACGUCCCUGCCCUUUGUACACACCGCCCGUCGCACCUACCGAUUGAAUGGUCCGGUGAAAUCUCUGGACAGGCUUUUGUGCCCCUGCUUGAGGUAACUUGAGUGAGUGCACAAGCAGGCAGUGUGCUGGUGUAUGCCAGCUGCAGCUCUGUUUGCCUGGAAGUUGAUUAAAUCUUACCAUUUAGAGGAAGGUGAAGUCGUAACA